rnacentral:rRNA from 1 species
UACGGGGGGGGCUAGCGUUGUUCGGAAUUACUGGGCGUAAAGGGCUCGUAGGUGGCCAACUAAGUCAUGCGUGAAAUCCCUCGGCUUAACCGGGGAACUGCGUCUGAUACUGGAUGGCUUGAAUCCGGGAGAGGGAUGCGGAAUUCCAGGUGUAGCGGUGAAAUGCGUAGAUAUCUGGAGGAACACCGGUGGCGAAGGCGGCAUCCUGGACCGGCAUUGACGCUGAGGCGCGAAAGCCAGGGGAGCAAACGGG